ensembl:snRNA U6 U6 spliceosomal RNA
GUGCUCAUUUUGGCAGCACAUAUACUAAAACUGGAACGAUACAGAGAUUAGCAUGGCCCCUGCGCAAGGAUGACACGCAAAUUUGUGAAGCAUUCCAUAUUUUU